rnacentral:lncRNA from 1 species
AAUUGCCCAAAAUAGCUAAAAUAUUCGAACCCACGAUCCCACCUCUUAGCUAAAACUAUUUGAUAACCUAAAAAUGGGAAAAGAAGCUAUUUAUACUAAGCUGAAAAAUCUGGACAAAAAUACCCCUGCGGGGCUAGUGCGGACCGCACAAAAUCACGUGCGGCCGCACUAAGGCUCUUGGCAUAAAAAUCUAUCUCUAUGAACUUAGGCAAUGCAGACAACAGAAUGGAGUGCGAUCGCGGAGGCUUCUAGUGCGGUCCGCAUGAAAUGGAGCGCGGACCGCAUUGGCUUGAAACUCGAAACUGGCAACUCUCUGAUCCUUCUUACUGCGGACUAUACUAAAUUGAGUGCGGCCGCAUUGAUCCCAGUGCGGACCGCAUAAAACCUAGUGCGGCCGCAUUGAUACUUUUUGCCUGAAUAUCAUACUCUCUGAACCUCACUUGUGCGGACCGCACAAAAUGGUGUGCGGCCACACUGGCCUUGUUUUGUCUGAGCUUUGUUUUGUCUUGAUACUUGUGCAAGUUUCACUCCUUUUGAGCUGAUCUUUGACAUCUUGUUACCUUGUUGAUCAAACCUGCAAUUAAGCACAACUUGUGAGCCUUUGGGACUAUUUUGUACACAUUUCUAAUCAAAACUUAAGCAAGAAGGAGUAUAAAAUGUAUCAAAAUCCCUAGUUAUCAGCCACCCCACUUGGAGACUGACACUUCGAGAAAACUUGAAGUAAAAUGGGAAAAUAAACCCAAGGGGCAAAUCCCGAACUAAAGAGGCUACAUCCAAAUUAAUACGGUUCUGAGACGUCCGAAUUCCGUAACAAAAUAGGCCUUCGAAUUCUUUCAUAAACCGGUUAAAAGGGCUACCCCCCGCAAAAUCAUCAAAGGCUUCGAUAAUAUCAAGCCUCAAAAACUCUGAUGAAUACAAAAUUGUUCGAACUCUCGAACAAUUCCUUAUUUCAUGCUAAGGCACUACAAGUAUUGCCAAUACAAAUGAUAAAAAAACUUUUCAAGCCAAAAGGGGAGAAAGCCAUAAACAAUCUUUUUACAAAUGGCAUGUCGGCCUAAUACAAAAGCCUAAGGGUUGUUUUUGCUUUGAGUUCGACCAUCCUCGCUCAAAUAAAAAACCUAAGGGUUACCUUACUUCGAGUUCAAGCAAACACUCACUCGAUCGUAAAGGCUAUACUAGUUCAGUAUCAAUGAUAUUAUCUAAACCUCAGACCUUAGAAUACAACUUCAUAAUUUUAUAAGGUAGAAAGGAAGAAUUUUUUUAUAUAUAUGUCAAAAUCAUUUAUAAUGCCAGCAUGGCCCGAUCAGAAUUCUCUACAAAAGGCUAAAACAGCCUUAAAAGAAACACGAAGAAAAAAAUACAAAUUCCAAGGGCCUAGUCUUCUCCAGGAGCAGCAUCUUCACUCUCGGGGCCUUCCACUUCCAGCCCCGCUCAUGCACCUAGAAUCGGCAUCGUCGUCAGGAAAGGCCAACACUUUGGCUUCAGCUUCAAGCUCUUUGCCACUCUCGAUCUCGGCUGUAAGACCGAAACAACGAGUGUGGAUCUCCUCGAGAGUCUCCCUUCGAGAUUGGCAUUUCACAUGCUCGGCAACCCAGUUUGCUCGAAUCUGAGCAGCUUUAGCAACCUCCUUUGCUCGAGCCUGAGCAUCUUCAAUGUCGGCCCGGUAGAUGGCCACCAUUACAUCAGCAUUAGCCUUGGCCGUUUCGAUCUCCAAUUUGACCGCUGCAAGUUCUGUGGCUAGCUUCUCUCGAUUGGAAGUUGCUAAACCCAAUCGAGACUGGAACUCCUCAAUUUUCUUGGCUUGUACCAAGGCAUUAUCUUUCAAGCUUCGAAGUUGGUUUUCAGUCAAGGCCAGUUGAGCUCAAGCAACUUCCCUUUCUGAGGCCAGGCGGUCCAUUUUCUCCUUCCAUCCUUCGGUAUUAGUUUUUAAUGCAUCUGCUUCUUCAUGAAGUUGCCUGAUUACGUCAAGCUUUUGUUGGACCUGCGGGUUCGAACCAUUAGCUGCCACGCCUGAAUUACCAUCACAAACUUCAAAUAUUCUUCUUACCUGCUCCAUCAGUUUAGUAUGUUCUUUCUGAGACGUUUCUAGCUUAGCACGGAGGCCUUUAGCUUUCCCUACUCUUUACUCACUGAGAAUAUUGAAGGCAUCAUUUUCCUUAGUUAGACCUCGGAUCUAGGCCUCAUAACGGCUCAGUUCCCCUCAGAAUUGGAGAAAAGCCCUGUGAUGAAGCUCUGAAGCCUGCAACAAAGAAGGGAAAACUAUACAAGGGGAGAAAAAUCUAAGUAUGAAAAUUGAUAAGGAAAUAAGGGAUUACCCGGUUUAGAGCCUAUUAGGCUUCGUUAAAAAGACAAGGCGCUCCCGCCUCGUCCAUUUGGGCUUGGUCUUCUUUUAUGACCAAACAUCGGAGGUAGCUAGCCACCCCUAGAGGGCAGCAAGAACCCGGGCAUCCUCCGGGGCCGUGAUAAUGAUUGUUCGCUUGCAUUUGGUAUCGGCGCUAGGGGACAAAAAUUGAUUGGUUAGUUUAAAACUCAAGGAAGCCUCACCCGAGCUCUUAUUUGGAACCUCCAAGUCACUCAGACCGGUGAAAUAUUCUACCCCAACAAAAUAACCACGGAAAGGAUCUUCCCCUCCGUGAGCUCCUUCCCCAUGACAAGUCUCUACGGACUGAGCGUCAUGUAUCAUAGAAUCGGAAAGUGAAGGAAACAAGAGGGAAUCCUCGAUCUCUAUUUCCCCAAGUGGGUCAUUUGAGGAACUGCCUCUAUCUUGGGAAGCUCAAGCCCGGUUUCUACACCAGCAUCUACUGCCUCUUCAACAGUCUAUUUGCCCCGAGAUAAAGCAUCUUUGGUUCCUCUUGGAUCGGGGACUUGGGCCAAAGUCUCCUCCUCGACCUCAUCGAACCUAGGCAGAUCAGUAUCAAGUCCCACCGGUUUCGAAGUGCUCCGAAUCUCGCUGCUAGCUCGCGCGGGCCACCAGCCCAGAAUCAUCUUCAUUCUCUUCUUCUUUUUCUUCCCUUAAUCUUUGGACUGACUCCAUAGUCAGUAGGAUUGUGUUCCCAUUGGGUUUAUGAGUUGUUCUCUUCUUGGGUUUUUGACCCUCAGAGUUCGAGGCCCUUUUUCCUCUUAUUCUCCUUUGCUGGUUUUGAGAUAGGUGGUGAACUUAUUCAUCACCGGACGAGGGUCUCAUAGUCGCGUCCUUUCCGAGACCUACAAAAGGAGAAAGUAAGUAAACUUAUGUUUGAAAAGAUGUUUGGACGAUAAGCAAAUCGGUAAAUCAGGAAGAAGGCUUACCAUGAUUACGAGCCUCCCAACGACACUUUGAGAAAUUGCGCCAUACGCGCUCGGCACGUGUUGACGUCGAAACCGAGCUCCUAACCUAGUUUUCGAGGUAGGGAACUACACCCGGCAUCUAAGUAGCUGUUGUAUUGAGAAAAACACUAAUAAUAAAGGAUGAAGAAGCAAAAACAAUGACCAGAAAUUAAAGACGGAACCGUACUACGUUUCAUAUUCCAUUUCUCAGGAAAUGGCAUGAUUUCAGCAGGGAUUAGGUCUGUGGUCUUCAUCCGAAUGAACCGGCCAAUUCAGCCCUGGUCUUUAUCUUUGUCUAUGCUAGAGAUAGGCACCUUGGUGGCCCGACAUUGGAGCUUUAUCAGCCCACCUCGAUAGAGUGGAGGACUAUACAACCUUAUGAUAUGGUCAAGGGUGAAGGGGAGCCCGUCGAUUUUACUUACGAAGAAACGGAGCAGUAUCACGAUCCUCCAGAAAGAGGGUUGAAUUUGGCCGAGGGUUACCUAGUAUUUCAUGCAGAAGUAUAAUGACCGGAUCGAGGGGACCCAACGUGAAAGGGUAAGUGUAAACACUCAAACCCUUCCAUGUGGGUAGUGAUUGCUUCUUCUGGUGUCGGUAUCACAACCUCUUUGUUUCCCCAGUUGCAAUCUUUAUUCACCUGAUCAAGGAGGUUUUGGGUAUCGAGCAUAUAUAUCUAGAUACUAGCUCAUAUUGACCCGGAACUGAUGAGGUUUUCUCGACCUUAAAGUCAGAAUCAAUAACACACACAUCGAGAAUAAGCUCUUCAAGACGUGGCUCCACCACUGGUUUCUCACCGGCGGUCCAAGACAAGGAAGUGAUUUCUUUCUACGGAACAGUUUUAGAUGUUUCUGCCAUUUUGUCUUUUGUAGGCAAAGAAGAAUAGAGAUUGGAAUAUUUGGUGUUUUGGGAAGAACAAGCAAAGAAACUCAAUGACAUGAAGAUAGGAAGCUCUGAAGAAGGCAAAGAACUAUGAAGAUUAGAAUGAAAGAGAUUGAAAGUAAUGUUUCAAAUAAUAAAGAAGGUGGUUAUUUAUUGGUUUCACAAUAAUGGUUCAAAGCUGGUAGUGGCCGACCAUCGACAGACGUGCAUUACAUGUCUAGAAAAUUGUAUCAACGGGACAUUUCGGUCACUUCUGCCACUUACGUCACGAUGCUUAUGUCAUGAUAAACCGAAGGGAAGUUCGAAGACUCAAUUUGUUUCUUGUCAUUACACUCCAAAAAAUGAGGGACUAUGUGUAUACGGUCAAAAUUGGGCUUGUCUCAUUUUGUAUGGAUAAUCGAACUCGGGGUGGCAGACCAAGGCUCGGCCUCGCGUUGUAUAGAACCAUGGCACAGAGAUGGAUUGUUAAGCUCAUGAAUCAAUGACCGAUCAAGAUCGAGACCAGCCAUGAUCGAGACCGAAGCGGGAUAGAGAUCGAGCGAGAUCGAAGGAAGCCUGCUAAGUCAAAUAACAGAAAACCAAGAUAUCCGUGAUCGGGCAAGGAUCGUGGCAGAAAUCUCGGAGCGUAUCAAGUCAAGACUGGUUAUUUAGCCAAUCAUGGGAUUUUCUUCUGUAUUUAGAAUUGUACCAUAAGUAGAAUUCCACUACUAUACAAAGUGGGUUCUAAUCAUUUUAUAAACAUCAUAUUCACGCAUAGCAGAGCAAUAUAUUACAUUUUCUCUCUCAAGUUUUGUUGUUCAGUUCAUACUUUUCAAUUACACGUUCAUUCGGUUCGGGGGUGAUCUAGCUCGAGGGCCAAGCUGCGCUUUAUAUUGGUUUGCUUUUUUUUUUUUACAGUUAAUUUCUAACAUUAAUUCUCAUAUUUCUCAGUUUGUGUCAAGUGAAAUCACAUAUCCUUAAAAUCACUUAUAAAUUUAAUUGUUAUCCAAUUUUAAGGGUAAUCUCAUCAAGGAAAUAAGUAUUCGUGUGAGAGUUUCACUUACAAAUGAAAACGUUUCAGCUUGAAGGUUGGCAAUUGUUUGUGAAUUUGAGAAUGAAAAUCAACUAUAAAUUGAAAAGAGAAAAAAAAAAACGAGUUGAAGUUUUUUCCCAAGUGAGAUUUUUCAAAUAUUAAACUUCCACUUAGAGCUCUCAACUCUUACAAAUUUUUUUGUCCAAAAAAAUCAACUAUCUAUAAACAACGUUAUAUUCCACUAACAUUUUUUCUAGAUUUUCACUUAAAUGAUUUUUUCAACUUCAAUUUUAAAUAGAACUCUUGCUCUAACAAAAGAAUGAAAGAUAGAUUUAAAAAGUUACAGGUCCCUAAGCAGAAAAACAGCACCAACAAAACACGAUUGAACUGCUUCUCUCUUUUUUAUAUUUUGUACUAAAUCUAUACUACACUCUACAAGCAUUAGAGAAUUAAAUAAUGUAGAAGUAAGUCAUACUCGUUAGUUACUUUCAUCUCGAAUCCCCAAAUCUAUAUAUAUAUAUAUAUAUAUGUAUAUAUAUAUAAAGUUGGGAGUAGGAAAGCUGACGUGAUAUCUUCCAUAGAUGAAGAUUGUUAUUUAUCUUCUUUUUUUUGUUUUUUUUUUAAAAAAAUUGUCCAAAAAUCUUUUUCCCUUUCAAUGGACUUUAUACUAUUAAAUAUAUUACAUUUAUUACACUUAAUUAUAAUGUUUCUUCCAUUUCUUAGGCAAUUUAAUUCAUCAUAAUUAUCAACAAAAUUGUUAUAUGCAUAAUAAUGAUCCAAUAAAUUUAUUUUCAACUAACUUAUUUAGCCAUACAGUGAAGAGAGGAAGAUACCCCAUGGCACUAGCUAUGAGGAAUUACAUCAACCACAUGUGGCUAGCCAAUGUCCUAGACCCCUUAGCCCCAACUAUUGCACCAACACUGCUACACAACAUGCAAGCCCAAUGGAAUUUAUCAAACCACUUCAAUCCACUCAACAACAGAAUUGUUGUACCAUCUCCCCUUCUUCACUCCAGUCGAGCAUGUCAACAACAACCCAGUUUUCUACCCUUGGCAACCAAUCCCCCAGCAUCACCCAAUACCCACGGACUUUUACCACCAACAACCACCUCUAUUCGAACAAGAGCAAGACGACCCAGAGAUGCCAGAAGAACGAAUAGAGGAGGUAAAAGCUCCACCGGUCAGGGGAUCGUUCACCGAGAUUUUAAGCCUCAGAGAAGCAACUCUAAUGCUCUUUCAAGAACUAGAAGACAGAAAGUAUGUUCUCCGAUGCCCAGUGACACUCUACAAAUGUUCAAUCGACAUCCGCCCACCCAUUCUCCAACCAACGGGGAAUAUUGCGGCGGUUCUGAGUCCCUCUCUAAGGAAACCCAACUACCUCCUUCAUCAAGGAGUAGGGAACAAUCACCACAACCCAAUGAAUAGCCCAAUGAGCCUAGUUGUAUGGAAUAUUCGCGGGGCUAACAACGAUGAUUUCAAAAGAAACUUUAGAGAACUUUUGAAUACUCACAAUCCAGGCAUGGUGGCCCUUCUAGAGACAAAAAUGACAGACCACACACCUAUCAGGGAUGAGUUUCUCUUUACUGACAUGUUAGAAAUCCCUGCAAUAGGCUAUGCGGGGGGUAUUGUGAUUUUAUGGUUUGGGAACUUAGUUACCCUAAAUCUUGUUAGCCGCUCUCACCAGGAAAUACAUACCAUGUUGCAGGUAUCUCCCAUCCAACCCCCCUAUCUUAUUAGUAUUUUAUAUGCUAGUACUUGUUUAAAUAUGCGAAAAGACCUUUGGAACAACCUUUGUGACAUAGCGGAUAAUUAUCAUGGACUAUGGUUAGUCGGAGGCGAUUUUAAUAAAAUUUUAUCUCAAAAUGAAAAAUGGGGUGACCGGCCUCUCAACUCAAAUAGGGCUACACAGUUUUGGUCAUGUCUAAACUAUUGUAAUUUACUAUAUCUUGGUUUUAAAGGGGCUAAAUACACUUGGACCAACUGUUGUAUUAAUUCAGGUGGUCUAAUCUUAGAACGGUUAGAUAGAUACCUCGCCAACACCCUUUGGAUCAACUAAUACCCUAAUGCCCUCAUCACACACCUACCUAGAACUCACUCAGAUCAUGUUCCACUUCUUCUCCAAUUUAAAGGAAAAGAACCUCCCCAUAAGAAAAAGUUAUUUAGACGAGAGACUUAUUGGUGUCAACAUAUGGAGUUUGAAAAAAUAGUCAAAGACUCGUGGCAAAAUAGACAAUUCCUCGAAGCCACGGAAUUUUUUCAACAUAGUGUCACUCUUUGGGCAAAAAAUACUUUUGGAGACUCUGAUAGAAAAAAAAAAGAAUCCUAGCAAAACUGCAAGGGAUCCAAUCUUCCAUAAAUUACCCUCAUAGUCAUUUCCUACAUCUUCUUGAAAAGGAUUUAAUUACUGAAUAUAAUACCAUUCUUAAAAUCGAGGAAGACUAUUGGAAAAUACGUUCCCAUUUAAACUGGCUAAAUGAUGGGGAUGCCAAUACAUCUUCUAUCUAAGUGUCAUCAAUCGUAGAAGAAAAAUACUAUCUCCUUCUUUAAAGAUAAUAAUGGUAACUGGAUCCAUGAUCCAAUCCAAAUUCUAGUCCAUACAUCCCAAUAUUUCCACAAAGCUUUCCAAACAGAACACAUAGAUACCCCUAUAAAAAAUAUUCUGAGUUCACAAACAUCCUUUGACAAUCUAGAUCUAUCCCCAUUGGACUACUCAGUGCACGACUAUGAAGUCACUCGAGCAAUUUUUUCAUUCAAACCUUUUAAGGCCCCAGGACCGGAUGACAUUCAUCCUUUUUUUAUCAAAAAUAUUGGCAUAUCGUCAAAAAUCAAGUUCUAUCAUUUUGUCACAAAAUUUUUAAAGACCUUUCCAUCCCCACCUCACUCAAUUCUACAUAUAUCUGUCUCAUCCCAAAAUUUCAAAAUGCAAAUAGCCUUAAUAACUUCCGACCUAUCGGCCUCUGUAACACCAUUUACAAGGUAGUCACUAAGAUUAUCGUCAACAGAAUCAAGCCCUUCCUUUACAAACUAAUUGGCCCCUGUCAAUCUAGCUUCCUCAAGGGCAGAAGAACUUGCGAUAACGCUAUCAUGAUUCAAGAAAUCAUACACAAUUUCCAAAAAAUAAGAGGCCAAAAAAGUAAGGUUCUCCUAAAAAUUGAUUUGGAAAAAGCAUUCGAUCGUCUUGAAUGGUCAUUCAUGUAUCGGGGUUUAAUUUUCUUCAAAUUUCCCCCUUGCAUCACAAAAUUUAUUAUGAGUUGUGUUAGCACCUCCAGAAUUGCCAUCCUAGUUAAUGGCUCCAAAACGGAAUUCUUUUACCCCUCGAGGGAAAUUCGCCAAGGCGAUCCAAUGUCUCCCUCCCUUUUUAUCCUAUGUAUGGAACUAUUGUCAAAAUACAUUAAUCACCAGGUCAACGUUGGAGUCUGGGAUCCAAUUAAAAUCAAUCCCACUGUCCCUCCCAUCUCUCACCUAUUCUAUGCGGAUGACCUAACUCUCUCUGCCAACGCUAACACAAGGCCAAUCCACAUAAUCAAACAUAGCCUUAUCUUUUUUUCCAAGCUCUAGGGCCAAAAAAUCAACAAAGCAAAAUCAAAAAUUAUCUUUUCACAAAACUGUGAUGCUCAUACAAAAAAUCUCUUUCCAAAUAUUCUGGACAUCCAACCCAGUUAUAACUUUGGGAAAUAUUUGGGCUUCCCAAUUCUCACUCGAAAAUCCAAAGCAUCUGAUGUUCGCUACAUUAUUGACCACAUGAACACAAAACUUGCGGGUUGGAAAACAAACUUCCUUUCCAUUGUAGGUAGAACAACCCUUGCUAGAUCAACUCUUAAUGCCAUCCCGAACCAUGUAAUGCAAUAUAUCAUGCUCCCGGCAUCCACUCUAAAGCGAAUUGACAAAAUCCAAAGGGAUUUUAUAUGAGGCACCACCACUUAAAAACGAAAAAUUCAUUAUGUCAAAUGGUCCACUAUUACCCAACCAAAACAAGCAGGUGGCCUGGGCCUCAGGAAAGCAGCAGAUAAAAACAUGGUUUCCCUGGCUAGUCUCUCAUGGCGUUUGUUCAACAACUCAAGCUCCCUAUGGGCCUCCACUCUUAUUUCAAAAUACAGCCAUAAAAGAAACCCCAACACUAAUUCAUUCAUCUGGAAUAACAUCAUAACAGGCUGGAAAAUCUGUGGUCAAGGUCUACACUGGAUAGUGGCCCGGGCAACAUUAACUGUUGGACCUCUGCGUGGAUUCCAGGUCUCCCACCCUUAAGCUCAAUCAUCCAAGGUCCAAUGAAUUAUUCUGACCAAACACUCAAAGUCAAAGACCUUUGGGAUUCUAACUCUUGGAAUCUCACAAAAUUAUCCUAUACUCUAUCUAUAGAUAUACAAAACAAAAUAAAAUCUAUCAAACUGGACUCCCUCACCAAUACUAGGGACAUACCCACUUGGGCGCACACCUCUAAUGGUAUUUUUUCCUCCAGCUCAGUAUACAAGCUAAUCUCAAAGCCUCUUCCCAACACUUUUAAAUUCUAAUGGAUUUGGAUUCUUAAUACACUCCACAAAAUAAAAUACUUUCUAUGGCAAUGCUUCCACAAUCGGCUCCCUACUCUAACCCAUUUGCACCAAACCGGAUUACACAAUGACACCCUAUGUCCCAUAUGUAGAGUAGCGGAGGAGUCACUUAUUCACAUUUUCUUUGAAUGCCACAUAGCCACCAAAUUUUGGAGCGACGCUCAACUCAACCUUCCUCAGUUCCAUCAAAAUCCUGACCAUUGGCUUAAUACAUUAAGGGAUUUAUACAAAACCUUAGAUCAAUGGGAUAUCUCCUGGGGCAUGUUCUUUCGCUUUGCCAUAUGGUCUCUAUGGUUAAAUCGAAAUAACAACUCCUUCAACAAAAAGUGUAAUCAGCUUCCUAUUGAAACAGUUCUCGUAAGAUGCAAAGAAUUCAUAUACUGUACUAACUCUCCAAGCCAUGUUCCUCCUUCUAUCACUAUCUCUACUAAAUGGAUACCUCUAACAAACCACUCCUUUAAACUAAAUAUUGAUGGGGCCUUCAAAGAAAAAUAUAGGAAAGGAGGCUUUGGAGGUGCAUUCAGAAAUGGCCGGGGGGAUUGGAUUUUGGGUUACAACAAUUCUGCUAUAGCCUACACCCCUGCCUAUAUGGAGCUCUUAGCCCUCAAAACUGGACUUCAACUAGCCUGGGAUAAAAAGAUGGUUGACAUUGAAAUCGAGACCGAUGCAACAGAUGUUAUUUUCUUGCUUAAUAAUGAUACUUGUUCUAUUUACUCUAACUUGGUUAUUGAGUGCAGGUCACUACUAAGGAAAUUGCAGAAUCCACCGAUCCGGCAUAGCUUCAUAGAAGGAAACAAAGUAGCGCACUUUUUGGCCACUAAUGGAUUCAAACAACCAAGUAGCUCCACCCCCUAUCUGAUGGAACAGCCUCCUUAUUCUCUUUUGCAAAUCCUCCACAAAGACAAGACUGGAACCUUUUAUAGUAGGACUUUAUCUACGGCUGUAAUUUCCAAAUUAAUAAAAUUUGGGAAUCCUUUUGUAAAUGGCUCUACUAAUAUCGGCAGUAUGGUAGAACAAUCUCUGAAUGAUCCCAAUAGGACUCUCUAUCCUUGUAAUAGUACUAGUUAAUUUAUAAUAAUAACUUCGUAUUUCCAUCAAGAAAAAAGAAGGAAGACACCCUAAUUAGAAGAUUACAUGUACUUCACAUUUACGAAAAUGUUACAUAUUCUACUAUUCUCAAUUCCAUAUAUUUUUCUACUUUUGUGUUCCUCUUUCAAUUCUGUCGAUUCCUCAAAUUCUGUUCUUUCAUUUGCACUUCUCUAUCAAAAAGUGAUCUUAUUUGCGUCUAUUAUACGAGAAGCAGAUGUCUUUUGUGUUGAAUACAUGGAGAAGAGUAUCAAUCCCUUAUCUUAUGAAGCACAUAACUUCCACCAAGUAAAAUUUUGUAUUUCUUGGGUUUUAUAACCUUUCUUUGAUUAGAUAUACGGAAAAAAAAAAUUUGAUUCUCUAUAGGAGAAGAUAAAUCUCUUUUUUCGAUGCAAAUUUGACAUGAUAGAAGAGAAGCCUCCCUUUAUCAAGAAUUAUAUUUUUAAUAAUAUAAAGGUUUAACUUUAUCCUUAUAGUUUCUUUUGCAGGACAAACAUGACACAUAAAAUCAAAGCACAUAAAAGAUCAUGAAAGAAGAAUUCAUCACUAAAAAGGUAACUUGCCUUAUUGAUUUCCUCAGGAAGCUUCCAUCAAUAUGUUAUGCAAAUAUGUAAUUAAACAACAAUUUUUCCUUUUCGAAAGCAAUCAGGAACCUACUAUUUUUCAUUUGAAUUACUCGGAGGACUCUAGAGAGAGAGACCAGCAUGUUAAUAAUGGUGUUAAGAGUGGGUAGAGGAAAAAACAAAUCCAGAUAACGAUGAAUUUCGUGAUGCAAAGAACAACAAAUUAAAUACAAGAAACAAAUAGUUUGGGUUAAGAGCUAAUAUGGUAUGGUCC